rnacentral:rRNA from 1 species
UUCGUAGGCGGCGCCGCAAGUUGGAUUUUAAAGCCCGGGGCUCAACCCCGGAAUCGGAUCCAAAACUGCAGUGCUAGAGCAGAUCAGAGGGUAGUGGAAUUCCCGGCGUAGCGGUAAUAUGCGUAGAGAUCGGGAGGAACACCAGUGGCGAAGGCGGCUACCUGGGGUCUUGCUGACGCUGAGGAACGAAAGCUAGGGGAGCGAACG